UGCAAGUCGGACGGGAUUGGGGAGCUUGCUCCCCAUGAGAGUGGCGCACGGGUGCGUAACGCGUAUGCAACCUACCUUUACCUGGGGGAUAGCCUCUCGAAAGAGAGAUUAACACCGCAUAAGACCCCGGCACGGCAUCGUGCAGAGGUCAAAUAUUUAUAGGGCAAAGAUGGGCAUGCGUGACAUUAGCUAGUUGGUAAGGUAACGGCUUACCAAGGCUACGAUGUCUAGGGGAUCUGAGAGGAUGGCCCCCCACACUGGUACUGAGACACGGACCAGACUCCUACGGGAGGCAGCAGUAAGGAAUAUUGGUCAAUGGGCGCAAGCCUGAACCAGCCAUGCCGCGUGCAGGAAGACAGCCCUACGGGUCGUAAACUGCUUUUGUACCGGAACAAACCCCUUUACGUGUAAAGGGCUGAGCGUACGGUAAGAAUAAGGAUCGGCUAACUCCGUGCCAGCAGCCGCGGUAAUACGGAGGAUCCAAGCGUUAUCCGGAUUUAUUGGGUUUAAAGGGUGCGUAGGCGGCCUGUUAAGUCAGGGGUGAAAGACGGUAGCUCAACUAUCGCAGUGCCCUUGAUACUGAUGGGCUUGAAUAGACUAGAGGCAGGCGGAAUGAGGCAAGUAGCGGUGAAAUGCAUAGAUAUGCCUCAGAACACCGAUUGCGAAGGCAGCUUGCUAUGGUCUUAUUGACGCUGAGGCACGAAAGCGUGGGGAUCAAACAGGAUUAGAUACCCUGGUAGUCCACGCCCUAAACGAUGAAUACUCGAUGUUAGCGAUAUACAGUUAGCGUCUAAGCGAAAGCGUUAAGUAUUCCACCUGGGGAGUACGCCCGCAAGGGUGAAACUCAAAGGAAUUGACGGGGCCCCCCCAAGCGGAGGAGCAUGUGGUUUAAUUCGAUGAUACCCGAGGAACCUUACCCGGGCUUGAAAGU
rnacentral:rRNA from 1 species